rnacentral:lncRNA from 1 species
UAACAUUCGUUAAUCAAAUUCUGAUUUAGGUUGCUGUUCCAAAUCGAACUGCUUUUUCUGCACAUUUCACUAAAUAACUGACUAAUUGCAGUUCAAAGGUUUGUACCAUGUUAUGAUCUGAAGGAAAGGUGUCGAUAUUAUUGGCAGAGAAGUGAUUCAUUUUCCUGAAGACAUACUGGCUUCUACAAGUGUUGGCAGAAAAUAAUUUCAUACUAGUGGUUUAAAGCAUCAAUAUUCAUAGGUUUAUUUUCAUGUAUCCUUAACUACAAUGCUCCAUGUUCUUACCUGUUUAUGAAAAAUUAGUGUUUCAUCAACGAUGGCAGUUCUGUUGAUUUUACGUAUCAGGCAGUGGAACUACUGCUUCAAAAGCUUCGACCAGCAUUGCCACUCUUUUCUUCCGGGCUGGUGUUAGUUUAGUGACAAUAUGCUGAACUGCAUAAUCAAGCAUCCACUGCUCCGCUUUCCUCCUCUCAUCCAUCAUUUGAUGCCUUAAAUCAACUUUUUCAGGUUCUACAUCUGAUGGCAGCGGCAGCGGCAGCUGCUGUGGUGGUUUCAACUUCAGGUUCCUGGCUUUUUCCAUUGCCUUGAUUGAUCUCUUCAGAAGUAUUAGCUUUUUUAGCUUGCUCCAGUUCUUUGCCUUGGGUGGAUCAGAUUUGCUUUUCUCCAGAGACUCUGCUAUCCGGCAGUCUUCUUCAGUAUUAGCAUUAUUGUUUGACCCUUUUCCUCCAUCUAAUGAAAUGCCCUCUUCACUCCUGUCAAUUUCUCUUGCAUUUUGCUCUGUGAGACCAGUGGAACUUUGUUUAGCACCUUCACUACUAUCUUUAUCCGAAAGCUCCUUAUCUGGAAUAAUCUCACUUGAAACUGAGUGUGUGUCAGAAGAAUCAUCCUGAAUUUCUGGACUAAGGAUCUCUUGAAUAGCCUCUUUUACAAGUUUAAGCACUUGACUUCUGCUGAAUUCAGCUCGGUGAUAGCUUGCUACAUCAAUUUCAUUGGCCAUGCCGUGAAUUCCUUUAGGAGUGCCUUUACGAGAGGCAGGAGUUUCAAUGCCUGAAACCUUGCUUGCAUCUUCUGCUUCUUCAUCUUCUUCCCCCAGCAGCUCGAUUCCAACCUUGUUGGCAACACUUGAUACCACAUGCUGACAAACUGAGUGCCACAUGCUAAGAUAGUUUUGUUUGUCCAACUGUGAUUGACCUGCCUCAUUCUCCGUGUAAUUGGACGCAGAAUCCAGUGGUGGAAACUUUGAAACAACUAGAGAGUUUGGCCUGAUAGUUGUAUAAUUAUGUAACCCCCGUGAAUCUACAUUUUCUGGCUCGGUGUUUGUACUGUUUUCUAGCUCAGGUGCUCUGAAACUGUCAGCAGUGUCCUCAUCCGAAGCUGGUAAAAUGUUCUCAGUUGCUAUUGACUUCCUACCAACAUCGCAAGUUUCACUCUGGAUUGAGUGAGACCGCUCACCUGCAAGACCACUUAAAUCAUCUUUCUUCUCAUUCUUAAUCUUGAAUUCAAAACCACCAGCAAAAUCUUCACUUUUCAAAGAAGAGAAUUCUUCAACAUUAAUAACUCUCUGAGAUUCAUUCAGAGGCGCAUCAUUGGAAGAGGAGCUUUUGAGGUUGUCCGACUUCAAGUAGGUAUCUGUAGAGAUGUCUGCGGCAUCAACCGCAGGCAACUGAUGGUUAUUUGUUUCAAAAUGUUCCACAUGAUCUGAGCUGUUUCCAGAACCAUCCCGUCUGGAAGUGGCAUCAUCCCGAGCCUGUAAUUUUGCACCCUCCACAUCAAAUAUAGAUAUGUAUGUUUUAUUUCGGAAUUCUAAAACAUGCAUGCAUAUUCAUCAGUAUCAUGUUGGAGCAGAGGAUAUAUCACCUGAACAUUGCGCUCUUCUUGAGGGGGAACUACAGUUUCGAAUGCUUUUACAAGCAGUGACACUUUCCUCUUCUGAGUUGGAGCGAGUUGACUGACCACCUGCUGCAGUGCAUAGUCAAGCAUCCACUCCUCUGUCCUUUUUUUAUCAUCAGCUGUCUGGCGCCUCAAAGAAAUUUUUUCUGCUCCAGAGUCCGUCUCCAACUGCAGUUGCCGCGGUUUUCUGAGGUUGAGUUUCCUCACCUUCUCCAACUCUUUGGUGAACCUUUGAAGAAGAAUCCAUUUUUUCAGAUUACUCCAGUUGCUCGGUGAUUUCUUAUCUGAUUUCUUCCCCGAAUUUGCUUCUGAUUUCUUUAUCUCUUGUUGACUGGUGCUAUCAUCAACCUGAUCUUGUGGUACUCGAUCAGCUGGUAUAUUUUCACUGUCAGUGUGGUUCCGACUAUGGCAGCCUUCAUCAGGACCU